rnacentral:rRNA from 1 species
GUGGGAACGUACCUUUUGGUUCGGAACAACCCAGGGAAACUUGGGCUAAUACCGGAUAAGCCCUUACGGGGAAAGAUUUAUCGCCGAAAGAUCGGCCCGCGUCUGAUUAGCUAGUUGGUGAGGUAACGGCUCACCAAGGCGACGAUCAGUAGCUGGUCUGAGAGGAUGAUCAGCCACAUUGGGACUGAGACACGGCCCAAACUCCUACGGGAGGCAGCAGUGGGGAAUAUUGGACAAUGGGCGCAAGCCUGAUCCAGCCAUGCCGCGUGAGUGAUGAAGGCCCUAGGGUUGUAAAGCUCUUUUGUGCGGGAAGAUAAUGACGGUACCGCAAGAAUAAGCCCCGGCUAACUUCGUGCCAGCAGCCGCGGUAAUACGAAGGGGGCUAGCGUUGCUCGGAAUCACUGGGCGUAAAGGGUGCGUAGGCGGGUCUUUAAGUCAGGGGUGAAAUCCUGGAGCUCAACUCCAGAACUGCCUUUGAUACUGAAGAUCUUGAGUUCGGGAGAGGUGAGUGGAACU